UGGGGAAUAUUGCACAAUGGGCGCAAGCCUGAUGCAGCCAUGCCGCGUGUGUGAAGAAGGCCUUCGGGUUGUAAAGCACUUUCAGCGAGGAGGAAGGUGGUGAACUUAAUACGUUCAUCAAUUGACGUUACUCGCAGAAGAAGCACCGGCUAACUCCGUGCCAGCAGCCGCGGUAAUACGGAGGGUGCAAGCGUUAAUCGGAAUUACUGGGCGUAAAGCGCACGCAGGCGGUUUGUUAAGUCAGAUGUGAAAUCCCCGGGCUCAACCUGGGACUGUCAUUUGAAACUGGCAAGCUAGAGUCUCGUAGAGGGGGGUAGAAUUCCAGGUGUAGCGGUGAAAUGCGUAGAGAUCUGGAGGAAUACCGGUGGCGAAGGCGGCCCCCCUGGACGAAGACUGACGCUCAGGUGCGAAAAGCGUGGGGGAGCAAACAGGAUUAGAUACCCUGGUAGUCCACGCUGUAAACGAUGUCGAUUUUGGAGGUUGUGCCCUUGAGGCGUGGNUUCCGGAGCUAACGCGUUAAAUCGACCGCCUGGGGAGUACGGCC
rnacentral:rRNA from 1 species